rnacentral:rRNA from 1 species
AUGAAAGAACCGCGAGGUGGAGCUAAUCCCUAAAAGCCGGUCUAAUGUUCAGAUUGCAGUCUGCAACUCGACUGCAUGAAGGAGGAAUCGCUAGUAAUCGCGCAUCAGCACGGCGCGGUGAAUACGUUCCCGGGCCUUGUACACACCGCCCGUCACACCACGAAAGCCGGCUGUACUCGAAGUCGCUGAGA